CUCCUGAUGGUUUCCCUCCUCGUGCACGUAUUCGGAAGAGACGACGUGUUCGAAGAAAAUCGACGAACGAACCGAAGGGCCGAGCGACUACAUACACGUUUUAAGGCUGUCACAAUUUCAUGAUUUCCCGUGAGUGACGUGUAGGAGAGGAGAGACUUUAUCGGCGAACAGGCGAGUACCAUCUCUCCAGCAAGGCGAUCAGUGUGAAGUUAGGUUCGCCGAUCGCCGCCGCGCGCCGCAGAGAGGCGAGUGUCAAGUGAAAUUAGCUAUUAGUAAAGUAUUAAUCUAGUAAUAAUCGAUUCGUGUUGCCCUCUAGGAGACCCCGAACGCAACUCUCCCCCCCUCUCUCUAUCAUUUUUUUCUCGCCCCCCCCCCCCUCCCCUCACUUCCACUCUUUGUCAAGGAUCCGCUGUUUUAUCUCGAAUCGCGGAUUCAUUACGUAUACUUGCGCGCUUUAAGAAUUCAGCGGAAUGACUGACUCAUAAUUUCAAGUUUUAUAUACUUUAGAUCUUAGUUUUUAUUAAUAACGCUCGUAACUGUCUUGUGUCUGACGUCUUAAAUUGAAAAACUCUGUGAUGGAUGACAAAGUGGUGUACAAUAAAAAAAGUAUUACGUUUUUUUUUUCUAUAAAACAAUUAUCUGAAAAGGUUUAGUAUGUAAAUGUAAAAUUUAAAUAAUAAAGGCGAAGGCACAAUGUGUAUUAGUGGCCUUUGAAGAUAACGUAACGGUCAGUAAUAUCUCCGUUAUUAGGUGACGAAAUUUUUCGAUUAUUCAUAGAAUCAUUUGUUUAAUAGACAGCGGUGACGCCAAUACAUAAUAGCCGACAUUUGUUACAAGGAAUAAACUUGGGUGAUACAACUUUUUUGAUAUUUAAUAUUUUAUUCCGACUAUACACAUUUCGAGUUGUUAAACAAAGUUAAACAGUAGCAUAGGAUUUUGCUAAUGUAGCCCUCUAAACGGCCGUCUCAAGGGACCCUAUCGAAGUAGUUAUUCGGUACGUUUAUUAUAGUUCUACUGCAAAUUUCUAGUUUAUAUUACAUAUGUUAUAAAUUUUCAGUACUGUAGUUUCAGUACUGCAAUCUAUAUGCGGAAGAGUUAUGUGUGCGUACAUACAUUUACAUAUUCUGCAAUAUUUUUUCUUCAUUUUAUAUAAAUAAAUAUAUAAUGUUGAAUAAAGAAAUAUAUGUAUAAUUGUACCUAUAACACAAAACACUGUAUUUUUUUUAAUAAAUCAAUUUUUUAAGUCUGUUUUUGUAUGCCGAAAGGUCACGUUAGUACCCCUAUUAUAAUUUUUAAUUUUUAAUAAUAAAUUAUUUUUAUUAAUAUAUCUGAGACCACUUUCUAUUUUUUCAAUUUACAUUUAAUACUGAAGAUAGUUUAGUGUAAGGUUUAAUGUAAGUUGAAAUAACUAUUUUUAUAAAUUUUAAUUUUGUAUUAAAUAGUUCAAAUUUCUUUAAUACUUUGCUUGAUUGAAGUAUUAAAUUAUUAGAAUUUAAAAUAUGUUUUGAAGUAAUAAACUUAUGAAAUAUUUCAAAUGAGGAAUAUUUACGUCAUAUAUACGUAAUUCAAAUAUGUAUUUUUCUUUGUGUAUACAUGAGUUUAUUUUAAGUACAUUUCUUAUUUCAAGUAAAUGAUUAAUGUAUUUUAAAACUAUUAUCAAGAAAAUAUGGAUAAUGAUUAUCUUUAUAAAAUUCUUUAUAGAGAUAACCGGUUUUUUUAUUUAAAAGAAAAAAACUAAAAUAGAAUAAUCUCUUUUCUUAGCACAAGAAUGACAUUUUUCUGCGUGUAUUUUCUGCAUUUAUACUUGCGACAACUUCGAAUCUGUCACUUCCGGUCGCACCCUUUUCCGGCGGUCAGAACGAGAAAUACGCGCUCAGGGCAGGGAGAAACGAGCGAGACCGCGUGGCCGAGACGGAAAAAAAGGAUGGACCUCUUUGUGAGAUGAAAAUUAAUCCCGUCCUAAAGGAGAAACGACGACCCGAGUACACAUCGGGGAGUACACGGAAAUUUAAUCCGUUCGGUAAAAGCCCUCCCGUCCGCCGCGAUGAAAGAUCAACGGCGAGACGAUCGGAGACGUCGGGACGCCGGGCGUCGUCGUCAUGACGUGGCACGACGCGGCGAUCCGUUCUCCACGUUCAAGAUGGUUUAACUCACCCGCGAUUCACGUAAUCUACGUCGUCCCCGGCGCGCUAUUUCGAACCGAGCAACUUGCGCCGAGUUCCUUUUACGACGCCGAGGCGAAGGCGUUUGAGCGGUCUCUUGCAAUUCCGCACGAAGCACGAGGUCGCGACGACGACGUCCCAACUGCAACGCAUUGAACGAUCAACGCAAGGGAAAGUUAGGAAAAAAAGGAGAACGGGAAAAAGAACGUGUCAGAGUCGAAAAAAGUUGGCCAAUAGUCAAACUUAAAAAAAUUUAUGGAAAUCGUAUAAAAUAUCGUCCACUAUCAUAAUAGUUAAUUCCUAAUAAAAUUCAUUGAAAAUGUCGCAAUUUUGUGUAUGUUGUGUAGCAUCCCGUAAAAAUUUAGUUAGAUACAGAUCUGAAAAUAAUUUUACUGGCGCAUCAAAAUAAUUAUGAAGGAUGUUCAAGCAUGGUGAGCAAUAUUAAGAAUAAUUUUGCUGGAGUAUCUAAAAAUUCAAACUGCUAGAAUAUCGAAAUUUUUUACAACAUCCUCAUACAUAUUAAUUGUUUUGUCAAACAUUCCUUUCAAAUCUGUGUGUAUUUAUAUAAAUAAAAUCUUUAGAUACUUCAACAAGAUUAGGCUUUUCGUGUAAUUGUGCAGGCUAACCCACGCACAAAGCUUAACAGCGUAAAUAUCUCGUGCAAAUACCGCGCAAUCAAUUUUAAUGGUUUCGAUAUUGAUUUUCACAUUUCUUCUAGAACUUUUAAAAUGGUUAAAAACCCGUUUUCCAUUUAUGCUUCCUAAAAAGCAAAAUACGGAUAAUUCGAAGAUAAUUAAAAAAUUUAAGAAUUUAUAUUAAAAAAAUUUUCGUAAUCCACACACGUUCAUCAAAGAAAGCAAGCAAGUUUCCAGUUUUUGUAAUUUUUAUUUUUCUACGAUACAAAUAAACACUUUUGGCCGACUUUUUCGAAUACUGGACUGCCGUAUGCGCCGAUGCGUUCUGAUCCGGGACGUUUCGUCGGGUAAUUCACGUGUCGCCGUUUUCACGACGGGCGACCGGAUGGCGCGAUCUAAAGGACAGCUUCUCGCAUCGAUCCCGACGAAAUUGCGUAAGGAGAAGCAAUUUCCCGUUCGCCGUCGUUCCGCGAGCGUUUCCGUCGCUUUUCAUUAAAGCGGGUGUCGGGCAUUUGGGCGUACAUACACAUACGCUCGGCUCACGUAAUUGCAUCUCGCCGCGCGCGUUUGAGCCGCGGAACCACGUUAGGGCGACUUUUAUAGUGCGAUCUCGCGACUUGAAAUACUUCCAAAAUGCAUCGCCACCUCGUGCUCGUGACCUCCCCCUUUCCUCCUCCCCUCUGUCAUAAAAACAAGCGUUUCGCUUUGAAUCGUCUAUAAAAGCUUCACUUCCCUUUCAUCUCCAUAUCACUUUUUAUUUCCUCCUAGUUUUAAGAGGAAGUAAAGAAAGAUAACGAGCAGGUUAAACCAAAAUUAAUCUGCAUUAGUAGAAAUGGGACAUAGUCCAAAUCAUUGGAGAUACAAGUAUCUUUCUACUUACUGUUAUAGUUCGACUUACGAAUGAUCGGCACAUUAUUACAUAAAAAUGAAUCAGUAGAUUCAGUAGAUUAUAACCCAGCUAAUGAAGUUUCAAUCGUGAUCUAAAUUUUUAUUUUAUUUUAUUAAUUAAAUUAAUUAAAUUUAAAGGAAGGUCACCAAUACUGGCGCAUACCAUUUUAUUUUUGAUGAUAAAUUUUCUUAAACAGAAGUAAAACUUUGAAAACAAAUGUAAACUAAUAAGUGUUUUCUGUUCAAAAAUGGUGUAGUAAUUUGUAAUAAUAAUUUAUAAUAAUUAAUUUUCGCCACAUAAUAAAAAAAUAUGAAUAGUUGACAGUAAUGAUAAAAUUCGGACACGGCUUUUUCUCAUACAAUGAAGGAGUUAAUUAUAAAAUAAACUGAUGAACCAAGUAAUAAAAUAUAUUAUUAAACAUUAAACAACAAAAUUUCUAAAAUAAAAAGACUAUAACAUUUAAAAAAUAUUUAAAACAAAUGUUAUUUGAAACAGUUUGUUCGAAAUAAAAUUGUGUUAUAAAAAAAAACAGGUCACACUAGGAUCUAUUUUUAGAAAGAAAUACCGGUUUAUGUUCCUCGACGAUUUUAUGUUUCAUGCCACAUUGUAAGAAAAACACGAAAGAAAAAAGUAUAAACAAAACUGUUUUACAAGUUAUAAAAUGAUCUAAUAUAUUCAAUAUGAUAUCAAUAAUAUGCUUAUCAUUUAAACUUUGUAACUUGCGAACAAAAAUCAUGAAAAUUUUAUUUUUGUCUUUGAAGAAUUUAUUUUUAAUAGAUUUUAUAGAAAAAAGCCAUGAAUGUAUGAACUGUGGGUUUUUAUUUCUUUAUCUACAUAAAAUCGUGUUUUUACCAGUAUUAAUGUUUAAUUUCAGAGAAAUAAGGGAGUGCCGCUUUAGAAAGCACAUGCCAGUAGAAUCUUCUUCUGGCAAUCUUCCUCUAAUACUAAAUAUUAUAUUAAGAAUUAUAGCUUUCAGGAAAAAAAAGUUCUUUUAAUGACAUGUUAAACUUAAGCGUGUUUUUCUGCUUAAGUUAAAUAUUAAUUUUAUAGUAGCAAGUAUAUUAAAAAUUACAUUCUUGAAAAAAGAAAAAGUAUUUUGUCCUUAUCAAAUAGAGAUCUACGAUCGUUUUUAGCAAAAAUCAAAAUAAUUCUUUUGCACAAAUAAUAUUUUUUAUUUAUACAAAAUCAACACCAAUAAUGUAUCAGCUUAAACGAUGUGCGUAUAAUUACAUUAGCGCAUUUAACGCCUGCUAUUCGACUUACGAUUUACGACCGAAAUCUCGUAAGCCCUUUGCAAGUAGAAGGAUACUUGUAUUAUUAGAAAAUAGUCGUCGGAUCGGGGAUCGAUACUGUCGGCAGCCUUGCACCGUAAUAAUAAUGGCAACGGAUAACGAUCGCGUGUUAACAGACGCCUCCGUGUGAAAAAUACGAUUUGUCACGUUGAGAAAAAUAUAAAUUCAUCGUUGCAUUAACAAUAACCGGCGAUAUGUUUUCCGGUACACACGUACAGACGACCCCGACGGCCUCUUACGUGUCCGACUCGAUCAUCCGACGGCGACGACGCCCGCGACAUCCUCCCUUUCUCCGCGCGCGCGCGCGCGCGUAUGCGUGUCUCGCUCGCAUGUUAUAACGUUAUAAAUACGAAAUCUGCUGAUCGACAGAGAGAAAAACGAGAAGGUCGCCGGGGAUCACCCGGUCGCCUGUCGACGUUUCGCGUUCUGGAGGGAACCAAACUCGCCCUGUCGGUCGUCGCUGGCGCUGUUUCAGCGCCGAGUGACCGCGUCCACGGGAGCGUAUCGUCAUUAAUGCGCCCGUGGAGCGCGGCGGGGGAUGGGAUCGGGGCGCGGCGCGGCGAAGCGGGGUGGAGGUGGACGGAGGUCGCGAAAUGAUGUCACCGCUUACGCACGUUCAUCGAAUUAGACCCCGCGCGAUUUUAUUAUCCGCUCAGACGGCUCUUAGCUAAACGAGUUUAAUCGCUUUUGCAUGAGCCGCUCUCAUUAUUCACCCGCGUACCGCACCGUCACGUAACGUUAAUCCCGUCCGGGGCGCGACGCCGUUCCUUUUUAUUAACUGCACCGCCCGCCCGUAAGAUGAGAAAUGCCCCGUCAAACGUCAGAUCCGUAAGACCGCGCCGGAUAUUCGACGAAGCUCGCGGAGGUGCGCGCGUUUCGCCAAUAUUAAUUAAGAGGGAACUCCGACGCGCGCGAAGAAUCUUGCUCCCGAUUCAUCGUCAAAUCUAAUUCGUCAUUCAUCUACCUUCACCAUUAGAAGUUGUCGAGUUUAUUAAUAACAGAGCUACCGAAUCGGGGGAUCCUCCUUGAAUUUUCGUUUUGUCAAAAUAUAC